CUGGCGGCAGGCUAACACAUGCAAGUCGAGCGGGGAAGAGUAGCUUGCUACUUACCUAGCGGCGGACGGGUGAGUAAUGCUUAGGAAUCUGCCUAUUAGUGGGGGGACAACAUCUCGAAAGGGAUGCUAAUACCGCAUACGUCCUACGGGAGAAAGCAGGGGACCUUCGGGCCUUGCGCUAGUAGAUGAGCCUAAGUCGGAUUAGCUAGUUGGUGGGGUAAAGGCCUACCAAGGCGACGAUCUGUAGCGGGUCUGAGAGGAUGAUCCGCCACACUGGGACUGAGACACGGCCCAGACUCCUACGGGAGGCAGCAGUGGGGAAUAUUGGACAAUGGGGGGAACCCUGAUCCAGCCAUGCCGCGUGUGUGAAAGAAGGCCUUUUGGUUGUAAAGCACUUUAAGCGAGGAGGAGGCUACCGAGAUUAAUACUCUUGGAUAGUGGACGUUACUCGCAGAAUAAGCACCGGCUAACUCUGUGCCAGCCGCCGC
rnacentral:rRNA from 1 species